UACGUAGGGGGCUAGCGUUGUCCGGAAUCAUUGGGCGUAAAGCGCGCGUAGGCGGCCAGAUAAGUCCGGUGUGAAAGUCACAGGCUCAACCUGGGAAUGGCCAUGGAAACUGGCGAACUGGAGUGCGGCAGAGGGGGGUGGAAUUCCUGGUGUAGCAGUGAAAUGCGUAGAUAUCAGGAGGAACACCGAUGGCGAAGGCAGGUCUCUGGGCUGACACUGACGCUCAUGCACGAAAGCGUGGGGAGCAAACAGG
rnacentral:rRNA from 1 species